AGAGUGAACGCUGGCGGUAGGCCUAACACAUGCAAGUCGAACGGCAGCACGGUAAGAGCUUGCUCUUAUGGGUGGCGAGUGGCGGACGGGUGAGGAAUACAUCGGAAUCUACCUUUUGGUGGGGGAUAACGUAGGGAAACUUACGCUAAUACCGCAUACGCCCUUCGGGGGAAAGCCGGGGACCAGCAAUGGCCUGGCGCUGAUAGAUGAGCCGAUGUCGGAUUAGCUAGUUGGUGAGG
rnacentral:rRNA from 1 species